ACUAACUCAGAUCUUUAUAAGCGUAAAGAUAAAGAUUAACAUUGUCAAUCGGUUUUUGUAGCAUUGUCAAGUAGCAGUAUUAACAGAUACAUGCAAGAAAAUUUGGCAAAACGAAGGAACCCUAGCUUUGCCUCCCGGGUCGCUUUCCUGGGCGACUCCGGAGGCCGCCGCCGCCACCCAGAAAAAACCUCCCUUCGCAGAAAAACCGCGGGCUGCUGCUUGCCGGGCGGCGGUCGGGCUGGCGUCCGGCGUUGACGACCUCUCCGUCGCGCGUGGCGGUCCUCCUCGGGCAGAUCUGCUCUGCGGCCGGUUCCUUGGGCCAUCGGCUUCGUCCCCGGACAGAUCCCGCCCGCUCUCCCGUUGGCCCGGCCAGCGGCACCAACGCAGUAUACAGAAAGUUCAAUGAAAAUAAAAGAGAAAAAAAAAGUUGAAGAAGAGGCCGACAGAGCAUCGGGACGAUUCAGCGGUUAGCGGAGCAGCGGCCGGUGGGAGGCGGGCGCCGGAGCAGCAGCCGGCAGGAUGGCGGUCGGCGGAGACGAGGACGGGCGGCUCCGGCUCUAGGUCGAACGCCGACGGGGAUUCCACCUAGCCCGCACCCAGCCGCUGGAGAUCUGAGGCGGGGAGGAGGGUGGGCGAGGAAGGGAAGAGGUCGACGGUGCUGCAGAGGAGAGCUCGGGCAGCAACCUGCAGGGGCCACGGCGUCCGGUGGAGACCUCGCGCGGAGAGAGCCGGAUAUGGAGGGCAGAGGGGAGGCGGGGGCGGAGGAGAGCAGGGCCGGGGGUGGCGCGACGGCGGAGGAGAGCAGGGCUGCGGGCGGGGGUCGGACGGUACGAACGUAAGUACCAAAUUCGAAAUCAAGUAGCAGUAAAGAAAGUACAUUUGGUAAUCAACUAGUCUAUUAAGUACCAAAUUCGAAAUCAAGUAGCAGUAAAGAAAGUACAUUUGGUAGCAGUGUUGGUUGGUCAACUUUGUUAAAAUUACAAUCAA